GGAAACUGAAAUGAAUUAAAUAUUUAUUUAAGUGCUCCCUGUUUUGGAACAUAUUAAUAAAGAAAGGGGGAGUUACUACAGAAUUUGCCUUCACACUCAAUGUCUCUACGAUAGUGUGGGUCAGCUAUCGAUAUAUACUUCUAUUCAGCCAUCCAUCCUCCUCAUUUACUCCGUGUUUCGGGAUAUUAGGAAUCCAUAUUUCCACUAUUAAAAAUUUGAUUUCCGAGUCCCUCUUCUCCGAGUCUAACUAUAAUCAAAUGCACAUUCUUUAUUCUACUUGUAACAAUGUCAAUUUGACAAGGUUUCUCAUUCAUUCUAUUAAAGAUAUUCAACCACAUUGAUGAUCUUCUACGUCGUAGUGAAACAAAUGAAUCUAAGUCUCAGUUUCUCAAGAAGAUCACUUUUCCAUAGCGGACUGCAGCGAGGAACGAAGAAGAUUGUCUGAUUUCACUCAAAUUAAUUAGUGAAAUGAAAUGGAAGGUGUCAACUUUUUAGUAUUACAAUUAUAUUAUUCAAUCCAAGACCAAAUAUAGUCAAUCCAUAUGUAUUGUAA
rnacentral:lncRNA from 1 species